GCCCUGCUCUUUUCCCGUACCUCUGUUUAAAAAAAAACUUCAAAUAUUUUGCCCGAAGGAGCAGUUGUCCUAAAACAUGAAACAUUAAAUCUGCUUAGGCCAGGGGCGAAAGAGAGGCAGCGAGCAUUGUUUUCAAGAUGCGAUAUAAAUUCGACUGCCCCUCCUGUUAUUGGCAUUGGACAUCUUUUUAAAUAUCACGGGGGUGGGGCGGGGGGUAGUCACGGGUUUAUGGAAGAGUAAAACAAUUCAUCCCCGAUCAGUAGAUCCGACCCAUAUUUCUUAUUCCUGCGCUCAGACCCUAGCUGAAGCCUGGCAGAGACAGGGUGGCGGGGAUCCGGCUCCGUGAGGAUAUUAACAAGAGGCCUAAGUACUAUACCUUGGUACUCGACUGAAGGCUCGACAUGCAUAAGCACCAGAUCGUUUCAAUCUUUCAGUCAGGCAAUCCAUCUGCAACUCUAUGAUGCUGCCAGACCUGCUGAGCUUUUCCAGCAACUUCUGUUUUUGCUCCGGGGUCUUCGUUGCUGUUCCUAGAGCGGGAUUCCUUGAGGUCCAAAACACUUUGCAGAAGCCCUGAAGCCGUGCUUGAGACCCCCAAUUUGAACAGAAGAUGAACUCUUACUUAAGUCAUUUCUUUUUACCCUUAUUGUACCUCAAAAUGCACCAGAUUGUGACAACAAAAUACUUUUCACUGUAUCUUCAAGAUAUAUAUGACAAUAAAUAAAUCAUUCAGUCA